UACAGAGGUGGCAAGCGUUUGUUCGGAAUUACUGGGCGUAAAGCGCGCGUAGGCGGACCUGCAAGUCGGGGGUGAAAGCCCGAGGCUCAACCUCGGAACUGCCUUCGAUACUGCGGGUCUCGAGUCCGGGAGAGGUGGGUGGAAUUCCUAGUGUAGAGGUGAAAUUCGUAGAUAUUAGGAAGAACACCAGUGGCGAAGGCGGCUCACUGGAUCGGUACUGACGCUGAGGUGCGAAAGCGUGGGGAGCAACAGG
rnacentral:rRNA from 1 species